rnacentral:rRNA from 1 species
AUUGAACGCUGGCGGCAUGCCUUACACAUGCAAGUCGAACGGUAACGCGGGCUUGGUUGCUGCGUCGAGUGGGGGAGGCGUAAGGAAUGGAACGGAAUGUGCACCGGAGUGGGGGAGAGGGCUGAGAACGGGGGACGAAUACCGCAUACGCACUGUGUGUCAAAGCGGGAGAGCGGGAGCUUCCGCGCUCUUGGCGUCGGCUAUGCCCGGAUGGGAUUAGCUUGUUGGUGGGGUAAAGGCUCACCAAGGCGACGAUCCGUAGCUGGUCUGAGAGGAUGACCAGCCACACUGGAACUGAGACACGGUCCAGACUCCUACGGGAGGCAGCAGUGGGGAAUUUUGGACAAUGGGCGCAAGCCUGAUCCAGCCAUGCCGCGUGUAUGAAGAAGGCCUUCGGGUUGUAAACUGCUUUUGGCCGGGAGGAAGGGAGUUGAGUUAAUACCCUUGGUCAUUGACGGUACCCGAAGAAGAAGCACCGGCUAACUACGUG